CUCCCCUCCCAUCUCGAGCGCGUCCUUCCCCUCGCCGCCGCCUCUCUUCCACCCUCGUCUGCAGCAGGCAUGGGCCUAUCCCUCCUCUAUCGCCCUUCCAUCCACCAGCCUCGGCGUCAACCGCUCCUUCAUCUUCUGCUUCGCCUAGAUUGGCCGCCACCCAAGAGACAAGCGGUGUUGAUUUGGGCACCAGGUCCAGCUUUCAUCGAGAUGAUGGCAAAGGUCAAUGCCGCCACUGUUGUUUGUUUCUUCCCCGUCUCCGGCGGCUACCUUGGCACCGGCUGGUCCACAUCGACUUGGGCGAGACCUACAGACCGGUGGGGACGAGUCGAUGUAGGCGACUUCUGGGCCGACGGGCUGGCCAGCCGCAGCGCGUCGAUCUAGCCGACCUCCGAGGAGAGCGGGGCAAAGUGGGCAAGAUGUGGAGCUCCGAGAUGGACGCACAACAACAGAGUGACACUGUCAGGUAGCUAUCAGCAUACAUCCAACGUUGAGGCUCCUCCUUAGCUCCAGCCAAAGAGAUACAAUGAUAUCUGGUACCUGACUGUCAAGUGUAGAUUGAUUGCAAUAAUGUUUCAGUUCUUAUGUUUGUUGUGUGAUCUCCAUCUCUCCAGCUAUGGAGCUAAUUGAAUAAUGGGGAAAGGUGAUUUCAAACAGCACCCAGUGUGAGAGUUCCAUUGGGUCAGAGUGUAUUUCACUAUAACCUUGGAUAUGAGCUUAUUUUCUGAAUUUGUUCUUUGCAGUGACUUUACCUAUGAUUUCCUUGAAUGUGUUUUAGAAAGGAGCAGAGGCACAUGUCACUGGCGAUAUAACUGUUUCAUCAUCAGAAUUGGGGUGGAUCUACACAAAUCUGAGUAUCUGGUAAAAACACUAGAAUUGAGUUGAUGGCAAUGUUGGGAGUAUUUUGAGCAGUUAUAAAGUCAGUCAGUCCCAGUGUUGGCCAAAGCCCAUUGUUAAAAGAUUGUUUUGCUAGGAUGCUUGUAUGGUUUGAGUUUAUUUGUAAAUACAGGGAUGUGUUUCUUCAAAUUAAUUUUGUAUGGUGCUUUCAUAAUAUAAAUAUCACCAAUAUUUUUCUAUUGGACUUAAAAUUUACAACUAUAAGUUCUUAUUCUGGAAUAUUUGUUCUUUCUUCUGCAGUUAUUCACUGACAAUGAUUACCACUUCUCUGAGAAUGAUCUGGUUAUGGGCAACAACGUCAAGCCCAUCGGAAUACAAACGUCUAUUCUUUACAAAAGUGGUCAAGCAGAUAUUCUUAUGCUCGACUGUACUGGACAUCUGCUGCUGAAUAUCCGAACUUAGUUGAGGCGUGUGGCAGACAGUUGGCUUCAGGUUUGCAAAAAUGUUGAAAUGUGAAUAGGUGAUAAGACUUAUAUUGUGGUCAAUAUGGUUGCUGAAAUUGGAUUGCACAGGCAAACUCAAAUUUUGUUUAGUAGUUUUGUUUCCCGUCAGAUUCAUUGUAGAGACAGAUUGUUUGCAAUUGUUGAUUGAGCUGGUGGUAAUGGUUCAUGAUCUGAUUCUUCUCGUGCUUUUAGGAAUAGCUAAUUUAUACCAAAACUUCCAAUCUUCAAGUAAGCCAAACAGUGAAAAGUAAUACCGGAGCAUAUUGGUUGCUUCUCCAGCAAAAGGAAAUUCACCCUAGACCAAAAAGCAUAUCGUUCCAAAACAGUUGAUCUUGAAUAGGGAGUGAACAUGUCAGGCGGCAUAAGAACAUCAGUUAGAGUAACUGAUGUUCUUAUGCGUCGAAUUUUAGGUCAAACGUAGAGAUAUAACCCUGCUAGGUUCAGGCUCACUCAACCUUCAGCGGAAAUUACUGACAUAUUUGCUUUGAGUUGGUACAAAGUUUGUUUAGGCAUAUUUUCUGACUACCAUGUGCUGUAGGCUGAGCUUUUUGAACUUUGGGCUGAACUAAAAUUCGGAGAAAGAUGAAACUACAAAUGUAUAUAUAUAGUUUCCACUUUUUAACAUAUUUAGCACUAACGCUGACAAUAUAUACUUACCUUGUUCACUGUUACAAUCAAUUAGAAGAAGCAUCAAUAUUGCAACAAUAUGGCAGACAAAUCAGUAUAUGUCGUUUAUUCAUUGUUUAUCCGCUUUUUUUCAGGAGUAGUUUGUUAACAAUUUUUCCAUCAUGUAUUCCUUGGUGGAAAAUUAGAAGCCUACUAGCUAAAUCAGUAAUGCUGCCCUGAAUUUCUCUCUCAUGCCAAUCAGACAUACUAGCUAAAUCUAGCAAUUCUUCAAUUAUUGCAGGUCUGCAUUGGAGGCUUCAGACUUUGUUGGCUUUAUUAUCUGGAACUAAAUUAAUUGUCGCUCGCCUCCAGCUACUUUGGCUGGGCAUGAUUCCGCCGUUCUGGCUCCAGCUUGGUUGCUGCCAUGCUAUAAUGUAUACCACUCUUUGUCUUUUAAGUGCUCAAGCUCUUCACAAAGUGUGUGUAUUUUCCCAGUUGUUACCAUUUUCAAUAUAUGUUGGAAAAUGCUGCAAAAUGUUUGUAAUACGUUAUGGCUUCCAUGUGCUCCAUAAUUUAAUUGUACGUAUAUGUUGAAGAGAUUAUUUUUUUAGUUUUGUGUUCAAGCAAGCAAAUCAAGGGUUUAAGAUUCAGCACCCAA